AAAAAAAAGGAAAUUCUUAGAACAACAACAGUGAUAAAAUCAUCGGAGGCCGCCUGGCCAUGGCCCUGGCGAAGUAUUUUCCCGAAAAACAACGGCAUGUCGAUCAUAGUAUUCAUCGGCUAGCAGCUAUCCAGAUGCUACGACCCGAGAUAGCCACCGAAAUAUUUCCGAUGCACGUUCCGGACUCAUUGGCUGUAGCCCGUCUGAAAUUUGAACGACCGGCAUGGCAUGGUAAUUCCGAAAAUAAAUAAAUUAAAAUUA